AAAGAACAUGUAUAUUUAUAUUAUUUUUAUUUAAAUCCGCCGAAAUAACAAUACUCUCCACAAAAAUAUCUAAAACAAUGUGGUCUGAUUUUUUUUUUUUUUGGUGAGGGGGGGGGUGGGGGCUUCACUUUCCCUUUCACCCCUGAAAACAACUUGUGAUCAUCACUCGAAGGAAGAGCUUUAAAAUAAAAUUAAAGAAGUCUUUUACCACAGGAAAUUUAUGUUGGCACUCUGCUUACGUGAUAAUGACAAAUUGCUUUUAAGAGAAAAGAAAAAAAGUGAAACCAUGAACAGACCUCAGCAGUAGUAACAAUUGCACAUCUUUAUUUGGAUAAAACCAUCUAAUAUAAGUGCUUUCAUACAAUGGUAAAAUGCAAGUUCUUCUUAAAACCGUAGCUUUUAGCUGACCCUACCACUAUAUGCGAUACAUUUUUUUCAAAUUGUUUGUAAAAUUUAAUUCAAAUGAACAAGUACUACAUAGUCUUUAUAUAGAACAUCAAUUGCGCCUAUUUUCUGACAAAUAAUAACAUGUAGAUAGAAAACUUUAGAUAGUUGAUAUGGUAAAGAACCUUUUCAAAUAAAAAAGUUGUAAAAUAAAAAGGGGAAAAAAAUCGUGACGAAAUUGUAAAUAAAAUAUAUUUCGAUUAAAUCGCUUCAAAUAUUGUUGGGAUGUACAUAUUGGGACCGCUAUGGUCCCAACUAGCUUUUUUGGCCAAAAGUAACAAUUGAGUUUUUACAGUUUUUUGAUUCGUCUAAACAAACACUUCAAAAAGAGCGGCCCACUCGCUUGUGAGACACGAAGAAUUCUUGUGUUACCGUUCAAAUAAUAGCUCCUCAAUGCUGCUAGCGACGUACGAAGAAGUAUAAAGACCUUUUUUAGUCGUUUGGUUGGUUCAAUGGAUGGAAGGGAUGAUUAGAAGCAAUCUCAACAUGGCCGUUAUGAAAUCAUCCUGUGAAAAGAGCUGAAAACACCAAAUACAUAGUUUUGUUUAUUGCAAA
rnacentral:sRNA from 1 species